rnacentral:lncRNA from 1 species
AACUAGCGCGUACAGUUAGUCAUUUUGUUCCGGUUGGCAGACAGGAACCACAAGCUCCGUUCAGUCUUCAAUGCCUCAAUGCGAAUUAAUUAGGUCGUUGCAUGUGUUUAUCAGGGAGAGGAAGAACUAAUCAAGGGGAACCGAUUUUCUCUGGGCUUUAAAUCUACGCACGUUUUUUGGUUGCAAAUAUUACUAAUCGAAUUUCUUCAAAUUUAUCUUUAUUAUAUACUACUGUAGAUCGAUACUUAAUUAGUCCAUCUAACGACUUUUGGUUUCCAAGGUGAAAAAAUACUUCAUCUUUUAGACUCCUAUAGGUAUAUGCAGACAAGACAAAGGUUACAGAAUGGCAGUAUCAUAGAUAGCAGUUCUCAUUUAUUUUGUGCCGAGAUAUAAAGUUUAUCAGAAUAUCAAUUGACUUUCGUGUUUCGAUGCUUCACCUUCAGGGUAGAAUCGUGUCGGUGCAUGUAUCGAUCCCUCCCAUCGAUUGAACGUCAAAAAGGACUCAACAAUUUGUCAGGACUCUGAACGUUUGCUGCUGAAAAUAUCAAAUGACAGUAGUUGAGGCGACUGGUAUGCAGCUGGCUGCAGACUUAAUCAGACUUAUUAGUCAAGUAGUCGCUUUAGGACAAGUUCAAAUAAUUCGAUCAACUGUCAGUAGAGUAGUGUAGAAUAAAAAAAAUAGCGGUUUUUCCCAGCAAAAAUGGAACCAGCAAGCCGGCUGAUCACCAGACCAUACGGUGUGUAGAUGGCUUUAGCUAGGGAUUGGACAAAAGCUUCUCUGGAAUAUUCCAAGUUCGGCGUAGCAUCUGGCGAAGAACAAGGCAUGCCGGAUCGGACUAUCUGGUGAGAAGAGGGUAGCGCCGAGCAGACGAGAAAGGGGCUCUGGUUUUUAAAGUCCAUUGCAAGUGUUCGGUGAAUACAACACACGCCAAAUCAUCUAAAUGAGUUUCUUUUUAAAAAAAAUAAUAGAAACGGUCUCUGCGACCACACACAACCAAAAUCAUCUAUACGAGACAAGGAGAAAGUUAAAUUCUAGUCUAGUUUCUUUUCAGAUAGGUAAAAGUAUCUAGUGAACAAAAGCAUCUGGUGAGUGCAAAGUGCAAACAAGUAGGCAAGCGUUUUGAACUGGCACAACACUCAUCGGAUGACCUGGUUUUGUGAGCCGACUCAUAUUUCGAGAUCUGUUCGGUUUUCUUUUGUUGUUUUGACCGCAGAGGGUAUGUUCAGGUUGGUUUUCACGACAAUUUCUAGAGGGGUAGUAUUGUUUUCAUGAGUUUCCCAUGUGUUAUGUGGGACGUGAUCGGCUGAGUUAGGAAAAAAUUGGAGGUUCAGUUCAAGAAAUUAGAGAUAGAAUCUUGUUACACAAGGAGUUGAAGCUACCCCAAUAAAUAGUGGAGGAGGUGCAUGCUGAUUGCAUCAAUCAAGUCUCUCACCUCUAUGGCGCGAGGGUGUUCUAGCGCCUGUUGCUAAAGCUAGG